CCUACGGGAGGCAGCAGUGAGGAAUAUUGGUCAAUGGACGCAAGUCUGAACCAGCCAUGCCGCGUGCAGGAAGACGGCUCUAUGAGUUGUAAACUGCUUUUGUACGAGGGUAAACGCAGAUACGCGUAUCUUUCUGAACGUAUCGUACGAAUAAGGAUCGGCUAACUCCGUGCCAGCAGCCGCGGUAAUACGGAGGAUUCAAGCGUUAUCCGGAUUUAUUGGGUUUAAAGGGUGCGUAGGCGGUCGGAUAAGUUAGAGGUGAAAUCCCGAGGCUCAACUUCGGAAUUGCCUCUGAUACUGUUCGGCUAGAGAGUAGUAGCGGUAGGCGGAAUGUAUGGUGUAGCGGUGAAAUGCUUAGAGAUCAUACAGAACACCGAUUGCGAAGGCAGCUUACCAAGCUACUUCUGACGUUGAGGCACGAAAGCGUGGGGAGCAAACAGGAUUAGAUACCCCAGUAGUC
rnacentral:rRNA from 1 species